rnacentral:rRNA from 1 species
GAUGAACGCUGGCGGCGUGCCUAAUACAUGCAAGUCGAGCGAACAGACGAGGAGCUUGCUCCUUUGACGUUAGCGGCGGACGGGUGAGUAACACGUGGAUAACCUACCUAUAAGACUGGGAUAACUUCGGGAAACCGGAGCUAAUACCGGAUAACAUGUUGAACCGCAUGGUUCAACAGUGAAAGACGGUCUUGCUGUCACUUAUAGAUGGAUCCGCGCCGCAUUAGCUAGUUGGCAAGGUAACGGCUUACCAAGGCAACGAUGCGUAGCCGACCUGAGAGGGUGAUCGGCCACACUGGAACUGAGACACGGUCCAGACUCAUACGGGAGGCAGAAGUAGGGAAUCUUCCGCAAUGGGCGAAAGCCUGACGGAGCAACGCCGCGGGAGUGAAGAAGGGCUUCGGAUCGUAAAACUCUGUUAUUAGGGAAGAACAAAUGUGUAAGUAACUAUGCACGUCUUGACGGUACCUAAGCAGAAAGCCACGGCUAACUACGU